UUGUAAAGCUAUUAGCUGUCAUUUAGUGUUGCACAAAUGAUUAAUGCUAGUCAAAGUUUAUCUCAUGAACAUAAUAGCCACAAUAUACAAGUUGUCAUAGACUUUUUGAAUCUUCUGUAAAUGACUUCAAUCUUGUAUACCACUGGGGAACCCCUUUAUGCACUAUAAAAUUCUAUCUUUGUUGAUCAAGAAAAAUGAACCCAAUAACUAACGAAACCUCCUUCCUUAAAUGUGCACCAAGCAUAUAUACUAAAUGAUUAGAAUCUAUCUUCAAGCUGAUUCAUCUAUGGGUGCAUAUGCACGCAUGUGCAACUUCCUAUAUGUCAAGAAAUAAUAGGGAUGGGAUAGAUUGGUAAAGCAAUUAAACUUGGUGAUUAUUUUUGAACCAUAUAGAAUUUGCUUAAAAGAAGAAUUUGACCAAAGGGGAACCAUCAUGCAAUUACUUCUUUAUAAAGGAUUCAA
rnacentral:misc_RNA from 1 species